rnacentral:rRNA from 1 species
CUUUCAACAACGGAUCUCUUGGUUCUCGCAUCGAUGAAGAACGCAGCGAAAUGCGAUAAGUAAUGUGAAUUGCAGAUUUUCAGUGAAUCAUCGAAUCUUUGAACGCACCUUGCGCUCCUUGGUAUUCCUAGGAGCAUGCCUGUUUGAGUGUCA